GAUGAACGCUGACAGAAUGCUUAACACAUGCAAGUCGAUUCAAUUUACCUUCGGGUAAUGAGGAUGGCGGACGGGUGAGUAACGCGUAAGGAACUUGCCUCUUGGACUGGGACAACUGUUGGAAACGACAGCUAAUACCGGAUAUUAUGAGAUUCUCGCAUGGGAAACUUAUGAAAGCUAUAUGCGCCAAGAGAGAGCCUUGCGUUCCAUUAGCUAGUUGGUGGGGUAACGGCCCACCAAGGCGACGAUGGAUAGCCGGCCUGAGAGGGUGAACGGCCACAAGGGGACUGAGACACGGCCCUUACUCCUACGGGAGGCAGCAGUGGGGAAUAUUGGACAAUGGGCCACAAGCCUGAUCCAGCAAUUCUGUGUGCACGAUGAAGGUCUUCGGAUUGUAAAGUGCUUUCAGUUGGGAAGAAGAAAGUGACGGUACCAACAGAAGAAGCGACGGCUAAAUACGUGCCAGCAGCCGCGGUAAUACGUAUGUCGCAAGCGUUAUCCGGAUUUAUUGGGCGUAAAGCGCGUCUAGGCGGAAAAAUAANUCUGAUGUUAAAAUGCGGGGCUCAACUCCGUAUUGCGUUGGAAACUGUUUUUCUAGAGUACUGGAGAGGUGGGCGGAACUACAAGUGUAGAGGUGAAAUUCNUA
rnacentral:rRNA from 1 species